AAACCUUGCCCGAACCAACACCCAUUACAGUCGUUGGAGUGCGCUAGCAUCUUUUCAAAAGGAAGUUACGUCUCUCUAGCAAGAUUUCUCACUGAAAAGAUGAAGACCAUUUGUGUCCUGUUCGUUCUGGUGGUGAUCUUCUCCUUGGUCCUUGCACAUGCAGGAGAUAAUGUCGAGGAAGGAUUGAAUGAAGAAACGGAUCUGGAAAGACGGUCUGACUGCUUUCCUGUCGGUCACUCUUGUACCAAGAACUGGACUUGCUGUAACACUGAAGGUGGCAUUCCCCACUGCGGCUGGGACUUUAAAUGUUACUAAUAAUCAGGCGACAUACCGAUGCAAAGGAUGAAAAGACUUGGAUAGAACCUUACAGCAUCCUUCUGCACCACCUUCGUGCUGUUCUGUA